rnacentral:sRNA from 1 species
GAAAGCGGGGAGGUGGAUUAUGAAAGUUUCAUCACUGUAUCGGUUCUAUCAAGCCUAUCUUGCCGCGGGUCAAUCUAAAUGGUUGAGCGGGAUAUCGGUUCAACAGCGGGUGGAAUUAUUGCAGCAGGCGACGCAGUGGCAGAUAGAAAACAUGUCGGAAGAAGAGUACCGCCACUGGUUAUAACCGUAAGUUUCGGGUAGAGAAACAUUCUGAGUAAUGGUGCGAUUUCACCAGCCAGCGAACCUUCUGCUGGCUUUUUUU